AUAGUGGUGGUUCAGUGGUAGAACUCUCACCUUCCAUGCAGGAGACCAGGGUUCGAUUCCCGGCCAGUGCA
rnacentral:tRNA from 1 species